AGCCUAGAUAUUACAUGAACCAAUUUUUGAUGUGCUGUGAGCAGUUAAUACCCUUGAAUUGUAUUUCAUAUUCUAGUCAUACAGAUACAAUAAUUAUUUUCAAGCCAGUGUCACAGUUCCAUAACAAAUUACAGUGAUUCCCAUUACUUGCGAUGUCAGCCUGGUAUGCACUUUGGGCAGUGGCGAAGCUAGGUUGAUAUUAAAUAUUAUGCAAAAUGAAGGGGCCACUACGAGGUCAAGCCCCAAAUGAUGGCAAAUUCCUAGCUUUACCCCUUACUUUGGGCCUUUGUCAUGAUGGUCAGAGGUUCAAACCCUGCAAACUGCAGGUUUGUGUCAGGACAUAUUAAUUUUCACAUUAGAUGGAAUAUAUGAAAUUGUGGUGAUACGUUUUGAUAUGUUUAUAAAAUGUCAUAAAAAACUGCAUUUAAUUUAUUCAUCAUUUUUAUUUGCACUCUUUUCCAAGUGUAGACUGAAGAAGAUGUCCAGGCUUCUUUUGGUCUGUCAAUCUAGAGACAUAAUUGUUUUAAAUUGUGUAAUUGUAUGAUUCUGGUCUCAGUUCAUAGGAGACUUCAAUCUUAGUCAAUAUUGUGACAAGUCUUUUUCUUCCAAUGUUUUUUUUUAUCUGUUGUAACCCUUUUUUUUUUUUUUUUUUUUCUUUUCAAAUAUUUUUAUAGACACAGUAAUUCUGUGAUAAGUUUACUUUUUUUUGUUAUAUGUACAUAUGGAUAUUAAUUUUUUACUUAUCUAUAUAAUCUACAUAGAUCUAGUCCCAUAGAUAUAUUUCAUUAUGGCUAUGCCAUGUAGGUGGGGGGGGGGGG